AACAAUCAACUGUCGCCGAUCAAGAAUCAGCUGUUUUGUAUCAAUCCGCAUGUGAAAAAACACUGUCCACUCACUCCAAUGGCAUUACUCAAUCAACGUCUUGCUAUGCGUAAAAAUAUAGUUCUGUUAACAAAACUUGAAAGAUCACAUUAUUGCAGUUAUAUUUCUGUCUGAUUUACACAGCGUACACUAUCUAGCAUUGAUAAAAGAAGACAAUUUUCAAAAAAGGUUCAACAGGCUUUUUAAUCAAGGCUUGUUUUGACAAGACCUCUCAUUGACAAGACAAUAGCCGUCGUGCAUCACCAUGGACAUGAAUUUCACAAUGAGAAGAGGAAACACGAAAAACCUGUCAAUUUUUUCAUGUGUCAUUCGGUAAAAAUGCAAAAACCUGUAUCAACAACAUAGAAGGAAUGUACAGAAGUCAUGUUUGAUUGAGAAAAGUUACGACAAGUAGGUAAACUUUGAAAAAUACGAUUGCUGUCAGUGUCGGAAAGAAUGACCCGACUUGACCCAGAUAUGAGACAGCCGAAACCAGGAAUGACAAGAGAACCGGCGUUACAGUUUAAUCCGGACAACAAGUUUAAUGAACAUCGUUUGUGAUUUGAGACAAAUGUGACUGAUGGGAAACAUGUGCAUGUGGGAUUUUAGGAGGACUUGUCAAACGCGUUUGUGGAUCGGACACAGUCAGAUGACGGGAGUUUGUUGAUAUUUUGAUGUGAUUCAUAAUGGUCGAAUACCUGUUGAUAGACUAACACGGUAUCUGGAGACUUGGUGACAAGCUGUCCGCAUUCACGGAGUUCAUUUAGUUUAAUGUCGGACACAGGAUCACCUCGCUGGGUUAUCGAUGUCAUCAUCGUUCACAAAGGCAAACCUGUCUAUACAAAGUCCGGUUUUGGGGAUUCGUGUGGUCGAAAGAUUUGCCAAACAGCAAGUCCUCUAACACAGACGCAAAGCUGAAUCUUGGAACUUCAAUCUGGCCGGCCAUAUGCAGUUUUGAUAACAAAGACAUUAAAUGUGUUCAGAGGUUGAAUUGUGCGAAUAACUCUUCCUGUCAGAUCUCCGUCUACUUUAACGAGGUCAUUUAGUUUGACAGGUGUCAAAUGGUAGGCCAUGUUUGUUUACAAACAAUGCAGACGUAGUUUUGUUUUUUGUAAUUACGCUUAUUGUAAACUAAAACUUGUGCGAAAUAAAUGCUUUAUUCAUUAUA